UGCAAGUCGAACGGUAAGGCCCUUCGGGGUACACGAGUGGCGAACGGGUGAGUAACACGUGGGUAAUCUGCCCUGCACAUCGGGAUAAGCCUGGGAAACUGGGUCUAAUACCGAAUAGGACCACAGAACACAUGUCCUGUGGUGGAAAGCUUUUGCGGUGUGGGAUGGGCCCGCGGCCUAUCAGCUUGUUGGUGGGGUGAUGGCCCACCAAGGCGACGACGGGUAGCCGGCCUGAGAGGGUGUCCGGCCACACUGGGACUGAGAUACGGCCCAGACUCCUACGGGAGGCAGCAGUGGGGAAUAUUGCACAAUGGGCGAAAGCCUGAUGCAGCGACGCCGCGUGGGGGAUGACGGCCUUCGGGUUGUAAACCUCUUUCACCAUCGACGAAGGUUCGGGUUUUCUCGGAUUGACGGUAGGUGGAGAAGAAGCACCGGCCAACUACGUGCCAGCAGCCGCGGUAAUACGUAGGGUGCGAGCGUUGUCCGGAAUUACUGGGCGUAAAGAGCUCGUAGGUGGUUUGUCGCGUUGUUCGUGAAAUCUCACGGCUUAACUGUGAGCGUGCGGGCGAUACGGGCAGACUUGAGUACUGCAGGGGAGACUGGAAUUCCUGGUGUAGCGGUGGAAUGCGCAGAUAUCAGGAGGAACACCGGUGGCGAAGGCGGGUCUCUGGGCAGUAACUGACGCUGAGGAGCGAAAGCGUGGGGAGCGAACAGGAUUA
rnacentral:rRNA from 1 species